AGAGUGUGGAGCUCAGAGCCUCUUACUUUGGCUGUCACACUGACAACAAAGAUGAUGUAGUUUUCACAUUCAAUUUCAACCUGGUUGCGACUCAUGAAGGACAGGAGGUCACCUACGCCUACACCUAAGACCUGUUCUCCAUCCCUCCCCUGGUCUCCCAGAGAGGUUACCUGUGAGCUCAACUACAUGGAGGUGUCUGUGAGGAGUGAAGUCAA